rnacentral:lncRNA from 1 species
ACUGCCCCAUCUUCUAAUAGCUGCUGAGUUAGCUGCCUAGAAGUUCUUUAAGUCGCCAAUGCAUCGGGUACCGUGUCUGUGGGCCUUUUCACUCUAAGAGAGUCAUGUGAAGCAGAGAGUCAUAUCUAAUGAACUCCAUAACACUUUUAGGUUUUUCUGGGGAAUUGUAAAUGGAUAUACAAAGCUAGCAGAUGGUUUUAUAAAUAUCUUCAGAAAAACAAAAAGAGAGUUGAACCAUCAGGACCUUUUGGUCCUUCAGUGAGUAUUACAUACUGGCAAUCAAUAUACAGAACACUGUAGACCUUUCUUUUUUGUUAUUAUUGUGUCUGAAAAUAGCACAAAUUAAACCACAUUAAAACACUAUGUCUGUACAGUAGAUGUGAACGUGAAGGACCAUUUUCCCCCUACAGCUUCAACAUAGAGAUUGUAUUUAAUCUAAAAGAUAACUGUACUCUAUACCUAGGCUUUUAUAUUUAAUUUACGGUUGCUACAUAUGUAUGGUUGGCUUCCUUUUUAAAUUCUAUACAUUGAUUAUUUCAUUUUGUUCAUAGUAGAAAAUGAUGUUCAAGCCUUUGACACCCCUGUCCAGAUUGCCUACAAACAUGUUACCUUGAACCAGGGAUACUACAAAGUAUUGAAGAGAAAAGGAAAAGCCACUAAAAGUCUAUCUGGGGUAGGAUUGUAUCACAUCCCUUCAACUUUUCAAGGGAUAACAACCAUUACAAAAGCAAAGGAUGAACAACACCCUUCAGAGCCCUUAGGUGGAGGUGGGAGAUCAUUGCCUGUCAGACUUCAGACAAGCCACAGCUGACUUUUUAAUGCGGCUGCAAAUGCCCCCUUCCAUACACACUGACCUUUGAGAUGUUUUUAAACCUUGCUGACCUUUUCUGUACACGAGACCACUUCCCCCAAACUGCACAGAGCCUACAACCGCACCUGGACAUCUUACAAAAGGCUGUGCCUCCUGCAAGCACCCAACCGUAAUCCCUCACUAACAAGUGGUGGAAUAGAAUACACUAAGUCCUCGUCUGCAACUCAGAACUCGGUGUUCAGUACGGACUUGAGCACGUUGUGAGGAGGAGCAUUUCCACUUUCCAUAGGUGAGCAACACUGAUCUGCCAUGUUUUGUCCAUGGUGAUGUUCUACCCACAAUGGUGGGGCCAAGGAGUGUGAACUUAACCUUUUGAAACUAAAAACCAAAAUAAGUCUUCCCUCUCCUUGAAGUUGAUUUUUUUUUUUUUUUUUUUAUGCAUUGUGUCACAGUGGCUGAGAGAUGAAUCUUAAGCUGCAGAUGUGCUCUGGACCUUUGGUAGCCAGCUUCUAAGAAAGCCCUCCAUUUUUUUUCCCCAUCUGGUAUUCACAACCUAAUAUUGUCCCCUUGUAUGUCAUACCAUCCUGGCUCUCUCAUAAAUAAAUAAAGCACAAUAGUUUAUCGCCACCAGAAAAAAACUAACAAACAAACAAAAACAAAAAAACAAAAAACAAAUGAAGUAUAGUGAUACCGCCAAGACUUAAGAAUCGUGAUGAUAUAGGUAAUCUUGAGAGUUGGUUUCAAGAACAAAGAGUCAGUUAUUUGAAAUCAUAAAAGCAUGAUGUCAUUACUAUCCUUUUUGAGUUUUAAUUGCCUCCUUGUUGUAAAACUAUCAAGGACGUCUUGAAAAUUGCUUGUGGAGCUGGCAUGAUGACUCAGCAAUUAAUUGCAGGAACUCUGGGUUCAGUUCCCAGAACCUUCAGGAUGGUUUCUGAUAACUGUAUGUAACUCCAGGUCUAUGUGGUGGUUAUAUGGUCUGUUUUUGUCUCUGCAAACUUCUGUACAUGUGGACACAAAGUCAAACACAUACCCAUUGAGUAAAUAAAUGUAAAUAAAUCUUUU